GACGGAGGAUGCAAGCGUUAUCCGGAGUUAUCGGGCGUAAAGCGUCCGCAGGUGGCUGUUCAAGUCUGCUGUCAAAGCGCAGAGCUUAACUCUGUACAGGCGGUGGAAACUGAAGAGCUAGAGUAUGGUAGGGGUAGAGGGAAUUCCCGGUGUAGCGGUGAAAUGCGUAGAUAUCGGGAAGAACACCAGUGGCGAAAGCGCUCUACUGGGCCAUAACUGACACUGAGGGACGAAAGCUAGGGGAGCGAAAGGG
rnacentral:rRNA from 1 species